UACGUAGGGUGCAAGCGUUAAUCGGAAUUACUGGGCGUAAAGCGUGCGCAGGCGGUUUUGUAAGUCUGAUGUGAAAUCCCCGGGCUCAACCUGGGAAUUGCAUUGGAGACUGCAAGGCUAGAAUCUGGCAGAGGGGGGUAGAAUUCCACGUGUAGCAGUGAAAUGCGUAGAGAUGUGGAGGAACACCGAUGGCAAAGGCAGCCCCCUGGGUCAAGAUUGACGCUCAUGCACGAAAGCGUGGGGAGCAAACAGG
rnacentral:rRNA from 1 species